AGGCUCAACAGAGAGAGGAGGCAUACGAACUUCAGAUUCGUUCUGUCACAGGCAAACUGAAGGAGGCUGAGGCCCGCGCUGAAUUCGCUGAGAGGUCUGUCCAGAAGCUCCAGAAGGAAGUCGACAGGCUCGAGGAUGCAUUGGGUUCUGAGCGCGAGAAAUGCGCCUCACUGCAGAAUGACGUGGAGUUAACUCUGAAGGAUCUGCAGUCGAUGUAAACAUUCUCGCUCCACCCGCCAACGCAUUUUAGAUCAGCGAAUCUUCUCCAAGACAACAAGAGCGUUGCCGCCGCCACUGCCGUGACGAACGUGUGCAAGAGUGGACAUCACAACCGCCCCCAACUUUCAACUUUUGCUAGCCAGACAGAACACGCAAGAGUCUUCGACAUUCAUUCCACAACUGCAAUUUUGCACCUUCCCCUCUCAUACAUUCUAUACAUACAGGAGGAAACUAAUAUAGUUACCUAAAUAUACAAAUCAAUAUUAUCGGAGUCGGAGGAACACCAGCGACCGAGCGAGUAUACAGAGAAUCUAUCUAUUCAACCAGAAGAAAACUUUAUCUAAGCAACACAAGACAAUACAUUCGGUGCGAGUCAGACCAACAGGUUCUUAUUCAGACAGACAGACAGACAGACAGAUAGGAUAGAAUUUCUCGUGCUUGAUGAAUCCCAAAAAGUGGUAUCAGUGGAGAAAUCGAAUUCUCUCCUCGUGGAGUUUGCUGUAAUUCAUUGCCGAUCGUUUGAUUGAGUGGUUCUCCGCUGCCACGUUUCAUCUGCUUUCUAUAACGUAUUUAAACAGACGAACUGGUUCAAGAGAAAGAGAAGUACAAGAGCAUCUCGGACGAGCUCGACCAAACCUUCGCCGAGCUCACCGGAUACUAAACCGGAUAAUCCCGCUCGGAAGAAGUUCAGUUGGAAGUUCCACCACCGCAGCUUCUUCCCUUCGGGCCUGCUGUCCUUCAUCCCCGCUAUUUUAUUUCUAUAUAUGUGGUUUACCAACGAUAUUCAAUCCAUGCUGCUCUACCAAACAACCUGCAAACAAACAGUCAGCCAGCCAACCAACCUACAAACCACCUCAGUCAGUCCGCAAGCAGGGAAACAACAUCCGUCGUUCCGGCAUCGUGGUUCCGUUGACUCAUGGAUCAUCUGCAGCGAGCUUGAAAAGUCGGGGGUGUCGCGAGUGCGAGCAGCCAGCCAACCAGCGCAUCUCGUUCGCUUAUUCUUCUCUCGUCAAGUGUAUUGAUUAUCAUUGGUCGCAUUGUUCAGAUCGCUGGUCCUAUCGUUUGGAAGCACAAACGUUGUUCCGGCAUCAGGGAUAUCCCCUAUUUCCUUCUUGCUGUUGUGGUUGUUAAUGAAAGCGUCGGGGGCGCUGAUCGGCCAGCUGACAGCCGCUGCGCGAGCACCCGAUUUUUGAGGGGCCUCAAUCUGUCUCGUCCGAAGUGAGUCGAUGUCUGCGUUGAGCUGAGGUUUAUACUGAGAGAGCUGCAGGACUCCUUGAAUGAAUGAAGGCAACAACAAACUAAAACGCGAAAAUGAGGAAAAAACCAACACCUGUAACAAAAAAAAGCUGUGUGAGACAGACUGCCGCAAUCGUUGGAAUGAGGAUCCUCCAGGUGAUCGGAGCUGCAUAUCGAGUUCAACGACUGUCGCCGUGCUGUCUGCUGUUACGACUGUGAAAAAUUCAGAAGAGACGGAGAUCGAGGCUAAAGCAAGCAGAUAAAUAAAACAUAGAAACUCGAUCGCAUAAAGCA